rnacentral:rRNA from 1 species
GACGAACGCUGGCGGCGUGCUUAACACAUGCAAGUCGAACGACAGCGCAGUGAAAGCUUGCUUUUUCUACAAUCUAGUGGCAAACGGGUGAGUAACGCGUCAACAACUUGCCUUACGGAUGGGGACAACAGCUGGAAACGGCUGCUAAAACCGAAUACGUCCCGAAAGUCGCGUGACGAUCGGUAGAAACGAUGGCGUCUGAUUAUAAGCUAUCGCCGGUGGAUGGGUUUGCGGCUGAUUAGCCAGGUGGGGGGGUAACGGCCCACCAAGGCGACGAUCAGGAGGCUGGCUGAGAGGAUGAACGGCCACAAUGGGACUGGGACACGGUCCAGACUCCUUCGGGGAGGAGCAGUGGGGAAACUUCCGCAAUGGGCGGAAGCCUGGCGGCACAACGCCGCGGGAGGGAAGACGGCCUUCGGGUUGGAAAGGUCUGUUAUACGGGACGAAAAAUCUUGUGGUUAAUACCCAUCAGAAGUGACGGUACCGAAAGAGAAAGCAACGGCUAACUACGUG